rnacentral:tRNA from 1 species
CGAAAGAUAAUUUAAUUAAAAUAUUAACAUUGGAAGUUAAAAAUUAGGUGUUUUAACCUAUCUUUUGA